rnacentral:lncRNA from 1 species
ACAAACAAAGUUUUGGAGAUAGCAUUAGCAACCUGAGUACACACAAAUCCCAUUCUAAAUCCGCAACCUAGCAGACUUAACAUUAUUGAACAAGAUCAGACAAACUUUCAAGAGUCCAUGGAGCAACUGGAGCAACUGUGCCCACACAAAUUACACUCCAUAAUUAGUACAAGUGCUAAACACUACUUGCAGGUCAUUCACACAAGUUCAAAGAAAUAAGAAAAAUUUGACUAACAUCUACAUUCAAAAUCUAGUUACAAAAUAUGGAGGUAGAAAAGAGAUAAGGAAAUUGACUUCAAAAGUAGCCUUCAUUUCAUAUAUUCAACAAUCAUUCCUCAAUCAUAGCUAGAGAAGUACCUGGAAAAUGUAAAGAUGAAUAGUGGUGAGCAAUCAACAAAUGCAGCAAACAGCUAGCCAAAACACAGCUCAAACCCCAGGGAUUGUAAUAUUAAAACAGCUUGAACCAAAGGCUUUCAGAAAAACCCACUACCAAUUCAUACUUCUUCUCAAAUCAACCAGAAAGUAUUUCAGAAUUUGAAAAUCUUCGGAAACUCAGUCAGGAGAUCAAUAAAACAGUAGUUUUUUUUUCAAUUUCUGCUGACUUUUGGAAUUUAUCUAGGGUAGUCUGUUUCCAGAAUUUCAGUAUAUAUAUAUAUAUAUAUAUUUUUUUUCAGACCUCCUGAUCUUUGUGAGCUCUCUAGUUUUUUCAUUUUCCAGAUCCUCUCUAUUUUCUAAUCUUCUUCCUCUUUUCUUGAAAGGCAAGAAUGAAUGCCUUUAUAGGCAAGCAAUUAGGGUAUCUUUUAGGUUUUUAUUUUGCAUUUUAAAUGCUUUUAAUUUUCAGCUUUUUUGCUUAAAACUCCUUAGUAUCCUGAUUUGCUACCCAAGUUAUACCAUCUAAAUUCUGAAAUUCAAAUUAGGACCCUAACCUAGAAGCUUCUAGGGGCUUCUAUUUUCUGUUACUGCAAGAUUCUCUAUGUGAUCUACCCAAAUUAUCCCCAAUGAUCCUUUAUUUACUUUGGUCAGUUAACCUAACCUUCAGCACAUGGGUCAAGUUGACCCAAUGCUUAAACCCAACUAGAUUGACCUCUUUUCCGUGGGCUUUCAAACAUAUCCUAAAAUUAACCCAAUUCAGAAGUCCCAAUAAACUCAUACCAAAUUUUAAAUCAAGCAAUUUUGAAUUGGGUCCGGAAAUAAAAGAAGAAGACCAAUUAAUACUACGAAGGUCAAUAACUAAAACUAAGCUAUACAUGAAUGAGAUGAUUACAGAAGGACUAAAAACUAAAUUAAGCAAUAAGAAACAACGACUUGAAAUAAAAAAAAUAAACUAAUAAAUGAAGGUCAAAACAGAACAAAACUUAAAAGGUGUUAAAUUGUGGUUUUCCUGGGCAUGCAGAAGUAAAAUACGAACAAGAAUAAGCUAAAAAGAAACAGAAGUGAAGGGCACACCUGUCUGAGAUGAACAAGUAAAAUCCAGAACCGAACCUUUGAAAUAGCUUUAUUAGUGGUCGAAUUAGACAUUAAUCAUGUGUUUUCAAUGAAAACAUGUGACUAAAGUCCAAAUCGAACCCAAACUUUAUCCAGUUAAUAAAAAAAAGAAUCUAGGGUUUCCAAUUUCGAUUUGAAAUUUGAGGAGUUUGGGUAGGAUUCGAGGGAAGCUGUACCGAUUUUGACGAUGAUGAGGUGAUAGGGAACAUGUGGUGUUAACAGCGGAGGGGCAGAACUUCCAGGCAAGAUUCGAAGGGCUUGGUUAAGAUGUGAGGGUCAGGGUUUGGAGAUUUGGAAAGGGGAUACAGAGAGGAACAAGGCGUGUUAAUUUGGUGGCCAUCGGAGCUCCCGCUGCCGGCAGAGGUGAUUUCUGGUCGGCGGUUCAUGGUGGUGAACGGCAGAGAAGAUGGGGUUCUCUAGGGUUACAGGGUGAUGGUGAGAGACGGGGAUUGGGGGUGGGGGCGUUUGGACACUUAUAUAUUAAAAGCUCCUUAGUUCUCAACCGUUGGAUCUUGAAUCCUAGACGGCUAAGAAUAAGUCCCAUGAAACGGUGUCGUUUCAAUUAUUAAAAGGCUGAACCGAGUCUAGGACGGGUAUUAGACUCGGUUAGGGGGGAAUCCAUUUGGGCUGGCCCAAAUGAUUUUGUUCUUCUUCUUUAUAAUUCAUUUUUUAGAUUUUUCUUUCUCUUUUUUUUCAUUUUUACAAUUAACUAAAAUUUAAAUUAAAUAAUAAACCCUUAAUUAACUUAUAAAACUACUAAUCAUGAUCAUAAAUAAUAAAAACAAAAUUGAAAGAAAAUCAUCUAAAAUCAAAGUUAAAAUUAAAAGUGCAAAUUAAACUAAUUAUUUAUUUCUUUCUUUUUUAAAAUGACUAAUUGCUAAUUAAUUCUUGAAAUAUGCCAAAUCAACUUCUAAAUGCACAUGCAACACAUUUUUUUUUGUAUUUUGCACAAAAAAAAUGCCAACAAUUAACGAAAAUGCCACAAAGAUCCACAAAAUUGUAAAUAAAUAAAAGAAAUUAUUUUAUUUGUAUUUAUGGGAGUAAUUCAUAUAGGGAAACAAUCACAUGCUCACGGCUUCUCCUUUUUGCUCGAAACACGGAGAGUUUUCGUGCAAAGAUAAGUGAACGGAUACGAGCGAUUUUUGCCCGUUUGAAUGCUCCGUACAUUUUUAAAAAGCUUGACCGCACCCUGCUUCGGAGGUUGCCUACAUAUCCUCGGCUAAAAAGGAAUCAGGUCAGUGUAGUUCCGGAGUGUUUGGUAGCUGGGACUACUGAAGUUGUGAUCUCACUAGUGCUACUGCUGCUGCUACUGCUUGCUAGAUCCCCUUAUUACACCAUGUCAAAAUAAAAAUAAGCUAGACUAAGCUAUGACAUAUGGAUUACGAAAGAACCUAUCUAUGUCUUUAAACUUGCUCUCGAUCCUCGUUGCCUUGUUAACUUGUAUUUCUUUCUGUGGAACUCCUUGUUGCCUUGUUGACCUGUAUUCUCCCAGUGGAACUCCGUGUUUCCUUGUUGCUAUGUUUCUCUUUCUCCAUGUUGAUGCCUGAUUGUUCAACUUGAAUUGUAUUACCUUAUUUUUUAGGUGGGCGCCUGAUUACCAAAACUUCAAAUGUAUUCCCUUAUUCUCCAGAUGGCCGCCUGAUUACCAAAAACUUGAAAUGUAUUCCCUUGUUCUCCAGAUGGGCGCCUGAUUACGAAAAACAUGAAAUGUAUUCCUUUAUUAUCUAGGUGGGCUCUUGAUUACCAGAACUUGAGUGUAAACCCUUUUUUCCAGGUGGGCACGUGAUUACCAAAAAUUUGAAAUGUAUUCCCUUGUUCUCCAGGUGGGCGCCUGAUUGAAAAUUUUGAAAUGUAUUCCCUUGUUAUCCAGGUAGACGCCUGAUUAUCAAAACUAGAAAUGUAUUCCCUUGUUAUCUAGGUGGGCGCCUGAUUGCAAAACUUGAAAUUUAUUCCCUUAUUAUCCAGGAGGGCGCCUGACUGUAAAACUAGAAAUAUAUUUCCUUGUUAUCCAGGUGGACGUCUGAUUGCAAAAACUUGAAAUGUAUUCCCUUGUUAUCCAAGCGGGCGCCAGAUUACCAAAACUAGAAAUGCAUUCCCUUGUUAUCCAGAUGGGCGCCUGAUUACCAAAAAUUCAAAUAAAAAUUGAAAUGUAUUCCCUUGUUCUCCAGGUGGGCGCCUGAUUACCAAAACUCGAAUAAAAAUUGAAAUGUAUUCCCUAAGACUGCUGUCUUUAUACCUGAUUACAACAAAACAAACAAAAAGAAAUUUUUCUGCUCCAGUUUGGUGUUGGGCGCAUUUAUGAGUGUUAAUUAAAUCAUGUUACCAAACAUCUCUAAAAUUUGAAAGCUAAAUCUCAUUAUCCAUGAGGGACCCGACAACCCUUAUUUAAAAUGACAGUUUUAAAAGGUGAAUAUCUAGUUUUCUAAGAAGACAAUAAAGUCGCAUCCCAUUAUCCAGGGGGGUCCUGACAACUCUUAACUAACGACAACUUUAAGAUUAGGCUAUGUUCUCUGAAGGUAUUACUUUCACUAUGUCUUGUUGUCUAAUUUAUAUCUGUUGGGGACCAGUAAUUAAAGCUAAAUCCCAUUAUCUAUGAGGGUCCUGAAAACUUUUAAGCUGAAAUCCCAUUAUCCGGGAGGGUCCUGAGAAUUUCAAAUUAAAUGCCAAUUUAACUCUCAGUUGUCUCUCCUGGGAAUGGCCAAUUAAAGUUACAUCCCAUUAUCCAUGAGGGUCCUGACGCCUCAUAUUGGGGAAUAUUUGUGCCAAAUCAUAUUACCCGUGAAUGUUUGAGUUUUAAACUGAGUCCCAUUUUCCAGGAGGGUUCUGACAACUCUUAACUGAAUCCUAUUUCAACAUGCAAAGUCACUUUAUGUUCUUUUCUGUAACAAAAGGCUCCAUCAUACUCUUUCGAGGAAUUUAAAACUACAAAUAGACUCAAAACAUUCUUUAAAACUAGAAACUGAAAUACACACUCAAAACUGAAAAUCAAGAGAACAUAAGUGCUUCUACUCCAGGGGCUCGUGGGAUAUCAGCCGGUCUUGCCACGGGCCUAUGUGCAAGAUCCCCUUGAAAACCCUCCAGGUCACUCAUUAUUUGGCAAACAAAUUUCAUUACUGCAGCAAACAAGGUGGUUUUAGUCAUAUCUUCACAUUCGUGGAACUUCAUGACGAUGUAGUCAGCAAUUACUCUAACCCUUUCCCUGAUGAUACCAUUUUCUUGGAGCAAACACCUUAUCUGCUGAGAUCUAGCUUCUAGCACUUGCGUGUCAUGAUGGGUUUGACCUUGCAGCUACUGUAUAUCUUCCUCCAGACGGGCAUUAAUUCAUAGCAGUGUUCCCCUUCUGCUUUAAAGUUCUUAGCUUUUUUGUCCAUCUCAUUUUCAAGGGUAGUUAGCCUUUUCUUCAAAGUUGUGGUUGUUCCCUCGUAUUUCCUUUUUAGAUGCCAUAUAAACUCCACCCAUCCUUUUGCAUUCUUCGUCAGAUGUCGGGUCUUUUAGCAGGUCGUUCGGGCUCCUAAUGGAUUUGAAAUAUUUUCCCAAACAUAGUCAUGUAAUUAGGCUCUAUUUCGCCUUAGAUAGAUCCCACACCCGAGUCUUUGGCUCUAGAAAUCUACACUCAUUCCAAAACUGACAAACUUUUCCUUAUGGGAACAUAGUUUAUGGACCUAAUUCGAUAACAUGUCCGCUCAGAUCUUCAUCAUGUGGGAUAGUUUGGCCACCUGCCUAGUUGCCGUAGCACCCUAUGUGGUGCAUAUGUCUGAAUGCUCCGGAGGCCCAUUAAGAGAAAAUAUCAUACUUCGGCUGACAUGUAAAUGACUUCAAUGACAGGGAUCCAACCAAAUUUCACUCAAUUUUCUGAAGUUAAGGAACUCAAAUGCACAAACCAAGCCUUUGUACCUUCUGGAAAUUUACAACCCACCACUCGGUUUUCGUACUCUUGAAUACAAUUCAGACCAGUCAUGUCGUAGUUCAUGUAGCCCAAGUGGUGACAACGAGAUUCUUGUAUCCAAAGUUGUAGGAGCAAGCUACAACCCUUGAAGAAUUUUCCCCAUUCUCGGCAGAUGGUUAAAGCUUAGUAAAUCUCUGUUAAGAUUAUUGGAACAAUUGUGCCAUUAGUUUUUCUAGACAUGACGUCGGCCAUUCCCACAAAACCCAAUUAUAUAUUUCCAUCCUUUCUUGGGCAGACUAUGACACCCAAGAAUGUUACUAUAAAAGCCAGUCCCCGACGUGCCUCUCAUUUAUCUUUAUUUCCCGAAUGAGUUAGGCCAGUAUAUGGUGCCUCAAAACCAUGGGGAUCGCCAGGAAGUAGAACGUGCAAAAUCCUCUGGAUAGAUUUCCAUCUUGAACCUCCCGACUAAUGCUUAGCAAAUCCAAAAACUUAUGAGGAGUCACUGUUCUUGACGCCACUGGGUACCGAAUUCUGAGAUUCCAAUAAGACCGGCAUAGCCCGCUAUUUUCUCCAGUCAUAGGGUUAACUCAAAAUCAUAAAAUUGAAACACAUUAUGAGUCGGUUCCCAAAAGGGUAUCAAAGCCUCGAUUACAUCCAACCUUGGUUUGAUUUUCAGGAGACCAACAAGACCACCCAAAAAUUUUACCACAACACCCAAAUCAUAUUCCAUCUUGAACCUCCCGACUAAUGCUUAGCAAAUCCAAAAACUUAUGAGGAGUCACUGUUCUUGACGCCACUGGGUACCGAAUUCUGAGAUUCCAAUAAGACCGGCAUAGCCCGCUAUUUUCUCCAGUCAUAGGGUUAACUCAAAAUCAUAAAAUUGAAACACAUUAUGAGUCGGUUCCCAAAAGGGUAUCAAAGCCUCGAUUACAUCCAACCUUGGUUUGAUUUUCAGGAGACCAACAAGACCACCCAAAAAUUUUACCACAACACCUUUGCUGACUUUUCCUAAGUCGUUCCACCACAUAUAAAGCUAUAAUGGGAUUUCCUCAAGAACUGCGAAGGGUUCAUUUUAAAUUGUGCCCAUCCUGCACAUUUAUUAGAGUGAUUGGUUAAAAUACCAUGAUUUAUUUUGACUCAGCUUUCAAGGAAAAAUUUAUUUCAAAACAAGGAACGCAUUUGCAAAUAAGGCCCUAGCACCUUAGGGAAGAAGAUUUUAAGGUUGUAUUUGCUAAUUGCCAAAAUUUUGAAAAAGAAUCAAAGGUGGCUAUUCUUGCAAAAACGGUCUUCCGGUAUCCAUUUGGGGAUAUUUUGGCUAUUUAGAAAAGAACGAAAUUACCUUAGGGAGAAGGUGUUACUCAUUCUAGAAUUCCAUGGUUCUAGCACAGUCGCUUAAACUAUUAGAAUUGAUCUAUUAUCCGAUAUAUUAUAUGUUUUAACCUAUUGUGCAUUUUUAAACUUAUUAAUCGCUUUUAAAUAUUUUAAAACACUUUUUAGGAAGAUUCAAGGUCGUUUAAAACAUGCCUUGAACCACGCCACAUGAAAUGCACCCGCAAUUCGCAACACGUUCUAUUUUAAAGGAGUACUCAAGCAAUCGAGCGUGAGACUAAUUAAAACUCAAUUCAGCUAAAAAAAUGCAAACGGGCGAGCUAAUUACCAUCGUUCUACUUCGAACCAUCACACAGAUUUAAUACUUAAGCAUGAACUACUUAUUCAUCUAUUACUACAGAUCCAGUACAUUUAGGAAAGAAGUAGAAGGAGAAAUGGACAAGAAGCUAAAUGGCUUGAGAAAAAUAUAAAAAUCAGGCUUCAAACAACGAUCCAUCUUUAUUGAAUUUCAGCGGAAACAACACCUUCCAUACAAAAACAUAUUCAAAGAUCCAUGUGCCAUUCAAAGUUCAAAGGAAUACCUGGAACAAUAAGAAACAAACAGCAGUCUUUCAGCAGAGAGAUUAGAGUAUCAGCAGCCUCUGAACAAGAACUAACAGCAGUUCAUCAACCAAUUUUUCAUGCAUAAAACCAGAAGAAAACAACAAUUUUCUAGCCUUUAAAACCAUAGAAAUAUGAAGAAUCAGCUAUAGAAGACCAGUAUUUUUUCCAUUUUUUGUGUUUCCUUACUAAUUUCUAAACAUCAGUAGUAAGUAUAGCCGUUUCUAAGUUUUUUUUUGUAUUCUAAUCUCUACUCAUAAUACUGAAAGCGAUCCUUAUACAGAUGACCUUAGGGCGGCAGAAUUGAUGUUACCAUUUUAUCAAUCAAUCCUUCUCUAAUUUUUAUUUUUUCACUUUUAACCCUGAAUUUUAAAACCAUUUAUUGAAACUACCCAAUCCCCUCUUUCUGAAAGCAUCCCAAUCUGUUUUAAAAGAUUCCUUCAAUUUAAAUUCUCCAAAUACCCUUUAGUCCCCUGCUAUUUACUCUCAGGAACUAAACAUGGGUCGAGCUAACCCAAAUGUCAAACCAAAGCCCUGGGCUUGCAACCCGAAUUAAUCCUCCCCUAUUUGGGCUUCUGACCUACGAAGCCCAAAGUUUUAAUUCGAAAAUGAAACCCACGAGAAGAACAGGCCAACGGAGUUUCAAAAAUUAGUGAAAUCAAUAAUUCCAAAGAAGACAAAAUAAAGGGAUACUUAAGCAAAUCAGACCAUGAAAUCAAAUGGACUAACAACAUGCUAACACGACUUAAUCCUAAAAUGCAAACAAAACAAUUCAAAACAGCAAAUAAGAAAGAGAAGGAAAAAACCAGAAAGAGACAAGGACGAGGAUAAAAUCAAAGAUGAAAAACAAAGAACAUAAAUACUUAAAGUAGGCAUACGGACAAUGGUCUUGGACGGACCUCCGCACUUUCGAUUUUGAACCGAAAUUGGAAUUAAUCACGUGUUCUUGUUGAGAACAGACGAAAAACAACAAUUUCAACCCUAAUCGUUCAUGGAAGCUCAAAAUUUUGGAGCAUUUUUUCUUUUUCUUCUGUUUUUCUUUUAGAUCCAAAACUUGUCCGAUUUGGUGAGGAUUUGAGUAGAUAUGGUGGUAGAUUGAGAAUCAUAUGUGGGUGGUGGUUGUAUGGUAAAGAUUUGGGGUUGAUUGGGCUUCGCCGCCUAUGAAGAUGGUGGAGGAAUUAAAGGCGGCGGACUAGGGUUAGAGACAGCCUGGUGAAAAGAUGAAGUGAAUUGG